rnacentral:rRNA from 1 species
UUGACCUCGGAUCAGGUAGGGAUACCCGCUGAACUUAAGCAUAUCAAUAAGCGGAGGAAAAGAAACCAACCAU